rnacentral:rRNA from 1 species
AUUGAACGCUGGCGGCAGGCCUAACACAUGCAAGUCGAACGAGUGGCGGACGGGUGAGUAAUGUCUGGGAAACUGCCUGAUGGAGGGGGAUAACUACUGGAAACGGUAGCUAAUACCGCAUACCAUCGGAUGUGCCCAGAUGGGAGUGGGUAGUAGGUGGGGUAACGGCUCACCUGGGCGACGAUCCCUAGCUGGUCUGAGAGAAUGACCAGACACACUGUAAGUGAGACACGGUGCAGACUCCGACGGGAGGCAGCAGUGGGGAAUAUUGCACAAUGGGCGAAAGCCUGAUGCAGCCAUGCGGCGUGUAUGAAGAAGGCCUUCGGGUUGUAAAGUGCUUUCAGCGGGGAGUCGUUACCCGCAGAAGAAGCACCGGCUAACUCCGUGCAAGCAGCCGCGGUAAUUC